GGGUGUCACUUCUGGGUGACCGGUUCAGCACCCUGGGGGAGGGCAGCCCGUCCUCAGAUGGAUGAGGUUAGGAUAGGGAGAGGAGGAGCGGCGGGGAGAGAGAUAACCCACGGCACCAGCUGUGACAUGGAUUACAGCAGCUUGAAGGACCUCUUGAGAGGGAUAGAGGGGAUGCGUAGCCUGGGAGAGGCUGUUUCUUCAGUUACUUAGAAAACAUCUAGUGGCGACACCGAAGUGUACUUUCCGCUGGGUAUCGCUAUCACAAGCACAACCCAGCUGGGCUUCUGGUAUAAAGACAACAAAACGGUGCCUUCCCUAAAAGGCUUACUGUCACUUUCUGGACCUGCUUGAGAUACAGCAGUGCAAAAUACAUAGCUCUUUUAGUUCCAAAGUUUGGUAAGCUGCCAGAGAAGAUGAAGCAUUAAACCCUGUAUUCUGUUCUAGCACUAUACACUGAGGCACAUUCAGACAAUUCUCUAUGCCCACUAAAUUGUCCAACAACCAUCAUGUUUAAGAUCAAGUCGAGUUAUUCUUAGAUUCAGGGCAUUCACAAACCAAUUGGAGCUUUUAUCGCUGUUUUCCUAGUUUAAUAUAUGUCAUAAAACAUGGAAUUUAAGUUGCUUUCAGACUGAAAAUAUUUUACUGCUAAGGCUUAGUAUUUAAUAUGCUAAAUUUUCCAGAAGGACAAAAGCAGACUCUAUCAAUGAAGCAGUCAUGCUCCUUACAUACUUUAAACAAUAGAGAUUUAAAUUACUAUGAUUAGUUAGAAAGUUGACUGUUCAAAUGCAACAAUCAGUUCCUUUGUUUUUGGACAGGAUUUUAAAUACUGAACAUUAGUCAUCAGUCAUGUGGGGAUUUGAACAAGCACUUAGCUUUAUGCAAUUUGAGUGAUUAGUUCUAUUCAAGUGAGUAGUACUGUGCAGAACGUGUAAGAUUUAGCACAUCUCAAACCCCCGAUUGUACAAAGCUUUAACAUGUGACCUGAAAAGUGUUGUGUUUUCUGAGGGCUUUAAGGCUGUUUCCAAAGAAACAGUGUUUCUGCAGUCACACUUGUCUAUCAUCCUCUCUUUCCCCAUCAUCUGGGGAAGGGGAAUGGUUGCCAAUCGUUGGCCAGUUUCAGUUAGUUUUCACAGAAGAAUGGAAAUUUCAAAACCAAUUUAGCUUGUACAUGUUUGGUAAAAAUAGGUGUCUCUAUAGAACAGAUCUUUUACUUGCAUAAUGAAAGCAGCUGCAGGAGCUGAAAUAUUAAGACAUUACAAAACCAUUAUUUAGGUGAAAAGUAAUACCUAAUUAACCCAGUUAGACAAAAAAAAGGUUUAACUAAGACUUACAAUCAACCCUAAAGUGAGCCAUCAGUACUGAGUUUUGUUGGGUGUUCAGGGCACUUUUAAAGGAAAAGAAAGCAAAUCUCAAUCCACUCCUGCUGUGGGCAUCAUGUGAGAUCUGCUAAUGAAGACCCAUCUUUUAAUACCAACUACACCAUUAAAUAGGCAGGUUUCAAAUGUCUGCUUGUAUAAAGCUUGUAUUUUAAGAGCAUGGUUUCUGAGGUACUUCAAAAUCUAUCCUCAUUUGGGUGUUCAUCUGGUGCAUGUUCUUGCUGGAACUGAAAGCAUUCAUCCUAGAAGAACCUGUAUAUAAAACCAGUGAUAUAUCUACAUAUAUAUCUUCCUGUUUUCUGUUAGCAGAAUAAGAAGAUAACCAAUAUAUAUUGAUAGUGUUGCCUGGAAGAUAAGGUUAAAGGCCAUGUACUGCUUGUUUGGUUUGCUUUCUAGCAUAAAAAUGGGAGAAGGACCUAAAAGGCAUUUAGAAACCAUGUAUCAUAGAAAUGAGGCUGUAACAUUUGAAGACAAAAUUAGAUCAUAAACAUCACCAUAUACAAAAGAAAAAGAUACCAGAAUGGAAAUUAAAAAAAAAAAAACAAAACAACAAACAACCCCUUUAAAGUCCAAGCACUAACAAAAUACCUGUGUAUCCCUGCAGAGCGCUUUAAAAUGGUAAUGUAUUCCUGAUUCAGAAAGCAACAGUAAGACUCUCCAAACACCACCUACAAAUGCUUGUCUUCACUUCCUUUUUAUUUGUAAAAUAAUUACACCUGUGGAAUGUAAGCCACUUGUUUUGCAGCCUUUGGUUGGUUGUUUUGUUUUGUUUUUUUCACUUUGUAGCAGUUCAAAUAGUUACUCAGCAUGCAAAAGAGUGAAUUAUCAGGCCCAGAGAAAUUAAGGCGUAUCUGCAGAUAAAUCACUCUUACCAGAAAGAGCCUUUCAAGAGAAAGCUGGCAGGGUUGAGCCCCUCUUGAUAGGGCAUUUAUAUUUUUCUUAACUGGAGGAAAAGUAUUUGGAUUUGAUUAUAAGUCCUUGAUUUCACAGUGAUUUUGUAUUGUGCUAAGAGUUGAUGUCUUGUGUAUCUUUGUGCUAACAGGUAUCUUACAACUACUAAAUCUUUUAUGUGGGCGUUUAGUGAGUCUUUGAGGGAUUGAGAGUCUCACUGCCUGACUUCCUCCGCUGGAGCUGCUUUGACAUCCUAGCAGGCUAUCAUAUUCAUCCAGGCUGCAGCUGAAGAGUUUUCUAAACCCAAUUAGUGCAAGAAUGCUAUGACCAAUGGAAAAAUGUUUGAUGCAUGCCAGAAAACAAAUCUUCCCAGCUCUUGGAAAUAUGUUCUGAAAACAAAUAAGGAUCACACAAGGAUUUUCAUGUUAAUAAAUACUUUUUUUCUUAGGAAAAUAUUUAAAAUCUAAAGCAAAAUUUUCAGUUUAAUUACCCUUCUCUAAGGAAUGUCUUAUAGCAUAAGCUUGGGAAGACAAGGAUUUAUCCUGAUUGGUGUGAAUACUGACUCCCACUUGCAGAUUAUAAAUGUUAAUAUCACACUGAGAUUGAAAACACAAGUAAUAUAGAAAUUAACACAGUGACAGGCAUAUUCACACUGAAAUUCUUUGAAUAUAAGUAAUUAGCAAUACAAUAGGUUACUCAGGAUGCCACACUUAGCAUUGCUACUUGGAAAAAUCACAAUUAAUGAUUGUCUUGGCUUUAGUUUUGCAUGAAUAGUAUAGCACUUCCAGUACAAUAAACAAAAGAAAUACAAAGCCCAUCUUCUAUCUGAACAUAGAGACAGACAUUAUUAACUUGUUAUUUUAGCUCUGUUACCUGACAUUACUGGAAUCUGUUGUGAUUUAAAUUUACAACAUGCAUCCUAUUUACAGUGGCUGGAAAAUCAUAUUAUCAGUUAACAUACUUCAGUUGGAAAGUGUAUUAGCUGCUCUGUCCAUAUGUUAAAGGAUAAAAUCUAAAAAUCUAGGGCUUAGAUUUGGAAUAUGACUCCAUCUGUGUUUGAUCUUUCUUGCAAUACAAGGCUUUCGUGAAAUUU